rnacentral:lncRNA from 1 species
CCACAACUUUAUUUUAUUUUUUAACCACACAUUUUUCAUCAAUCUAUUAUUCUAAAAUGGAUUCUUACAAUAAAAUUGCCUCAAACAGGCUCUAAAAAAUCAAAAUUAAAACAAUAAAAAUCACUUUGUUUCAUUUUUUUUCUUCCACCACCACGGUUUUACUGCCUCAAUCUCCUAUCAAAUUGGAGAAUGUUCCAAAUUUAGUGAUAUAUCCUCGAGUCCAUGACCUAGCCUUCCCAUUUUCUUUCUUGAAAGGGGCGAUUUUUACCCCUCCAUGGAGCCGCCACCAAUUCCCCUCAAAUCUACAGUGUUGAGCUGCUAAAUCCACCGGAAUUUGACCCCUUCACCAACGCCAAUAAUCCCUCAAUCCAUCAAACCAAACAAUUACACAAACAGCUACAAAUCCGACACUAAAUCAGCCCCACAUAUACCAAGAACCACGGUGUGGGCAGUUUGUGACCGAAAUUGGAUGAAUUUGGUUGUUAAUUGGGCAAUUAAAUUGACACCCACUUUUGUGUGAUGUUGAUGAGGAUUAACAUGCGGCAAAUUAUUUGAACCAACACCCCCAAACCCAUGAAUUGAAAUAGGCACACUGGCCACAAUUUUUGCGCACAACAAGAGGAAAUUCCAAGGCAUAUCAUCAUCAAAUUGUAUUAUUAUUAUUAUUAUUAUUAUUAUUAUUAUUAUUAUUAUUAUUAUUUGUGAGACGACCGUGGGUAACGACGAAAUUGGUAAAAAAGUCGUGUGGUUCUUGGUGUAUUUGGGGCUGAUUUUGAGUCGAAUUUGUGGCUGUUUGUGUAAUUGUUUAGUUAUGAUGGAUUGAUGGAGUAUUAGGUGGAUGGGUGAAAUUCCAGUUGUUUCGGCGGUAGCAACAUGAUGAAUUUGGGAGGAAUUGGAGACGGAUCCAUGGAGGGCAAAAAUCGCCCUUUUGUAAAAAGAAAUGGGAAGGCUAGGUCGAUUCCAAGACAUAUCACUAAAUUUAGAUCAUCCUCAAAUUUGAUAGAAGAUUGAGGAAGCAAAUGUGAUGGUGGAAGAGAAAGAAAGAAGUGAUUUUUGUUUUUUAAUUAUUUAUUUGUACUUUUUUGAAAUUUUUGGGAGUGUAGCUGUAAUUUGUUUUUUAUUUUUCAUUUCUUUACUUUUUGUUUUAUUUAAAUAAGAG